rnacentral:rRNA from 1 species
CGUAGGGUGCGAGCGUUAAUCGGAAUUACUGGGCGUAAAGUGUGCGCAGGUGGCCGCGCAAGUCGAGUGUGAAAUCCCCGAGCUUAACUUGGGAAUUGCGCUCGAAACUACGUGGCUCGAGUGUGGCAGAGGAAGGUGGAAUUCCACGUGUAGCGGUGAAAUGCGUAGAGAUGUGGAGGAACACCGAUGGCGAAGGCAGCCUUCUGGGCCAACACUGACGCUCAUGCACGAAAGCGUGGGGAGCAAACAGGAUUGGAUACCCUGGUAGUCCACGCCCUAAACGAUGAUGACUAGUUGUUGGGGGAGUUAAAUCCCUUAGUAACGCAGCUAACGCGUGAAGUCAUCCGCCUGGGGAGUACGGUCGCAAGAUUA